rnacentral:rRNA from 1 species
GAUGAACGCUGGCGGCGUGCCUAAUACAUGCCAGUCGAGCGAACAGACGAGGAGCUUGCUCCUCUGACGUUAGCGGCGGACGGGUGAGUAACACGUGGAUAACCUACCUAUAAGACUGGGAUAACUUCGGGAAACCGGAGCUAAUACCGGAUAAUAUAUUGAACCGCAUGGUUCGAUAGUGAAAGACGGUUUUGCUGUCACUUAUAGAUGGAUCCGCGCCGCAUUAGCUAGUUGGUAAGGUAACGGCUUACCAAGGCAACGAUGCGUAGCCGACCUGAGAGGGUGAUCGGCCACACUGGAACUGAGACACGGUCCAGACUCCUACGGGAGGCAGCAGUAGGGAAUCUUCCGCAAUGGGCGAAAGCCUGACGGAGCAACGCCGCGUGAGUGAUGAAGGUCUUCGGAUCGUAAAACUCUGUUAUUAGGGAAGAACAAAUGUGUAAGUAACUAUGCACGUCUUGACGGUACCUAAUCAGAAAGCCACGGCUAACUACGUG